AUACCGGGCCUUUUUGGGCUUGGUAAUUGGAAUGAGGGAGAGUUAAACGGACCAUCGAGUAUCCAUUGGAGGGCAAGUCUGGUGCCAGCAGCUGCGGUAAUACCAGCUCCAAUAGCGUAUAUUAAAGUUGUUGCAGUUAAAAAGCUCGUAGUUGGACUUGUGUGCGCUGUCCGCGGGUGGCCUGCGCCCAAAAGGGCGUUUCGGUUCGGCCCCGGUGGCGCCUUGAAAUCUGCAGCUGGGGGGACGUUGGCCUUAACUGGUCGGCGACCGCACGCCGGCUGCUCGGUUGCUGUGAGAAAAUUAGAGUGUUCAAGGCAGGCAUUGGGUGCAAUUGAAUACAUUAGCAUGGAAUAAUAAAAUAUGGCUCCUGCCGUAUUUUGUUGGUUUUGACUGGUGGGAGUAAUGAUUGAUAGGGACGGUUGGGGGUGCUAGUAUUGAGCGGCCAGAGGUGAAAUUCAUGGAUUCGCUCAAGACUAACUUAUGCGAAAGCAUUCACCAAGGACGUCCUCUUUAAUCAAGAACGAAAGUUGGGGGAUCGAAGACGAUCAGAUACCGUCGUAGUCUCAACCAUAAACUAUGUCGACUUGGGAUCGGCGGUAGUUUUUUCAUUAAGACACUGUCGGGACCACGGGAGAAAUCAAAGUGUCUGGACUCUGGGGGAAGUAUGGUCGCAAGGCUGAAACUUGAAGGAAUUGACGGAAGGGCACCACCAGGAGUGGAGCCUGCGGCUUAAUUUGACCCAACACGGGGAAACUUACCAGGUCCAGAGAUGUAGAGGAUUGACAGAUUGAAGCUCUUUCUUGAUCACUUCGGUGGUGGUGCAUGGCCGUUCUUAGUUGGUGGAGUGAUUUGUCUGGUUAAUUCCGUUAACGAACGAGACCUCAGCCUGCUAGUGUAGUCGGCUGGAUUGCCUUUGGCGAUCCGUGAUUUCGACUUCUUAGAGGGACAAUCGACGCGCAGUCGAUGGAAGUUUGAGGCAAUAACAGGUCUGUGAUGCCCUUAGAUGUUCUGGGCCGCACGCGCGCUACACUGCUGGGCUCAGCGAGUUUUACUUGGCCGAGAGGCCCGGUUAAUCUUGUGAAAUCCCAGCGUGCUUGGGCUCGCCUCCUGCAACUGGAGGCGCCAACGAGGAAUUCCUAGUAGACGCAGGUCAUCAACCUGCAUCGAUUACGUCCCUGCCCUUUGUACACACCGCCCGUCGUUCCAUAAGAGUGAGGCAUCCGGUGAAUUCUCGGGAGAGCCUCGGCGUGGCCAGCAAUGGUCUGCUCGGGUUUGAACUUGCAUAAACUUGG
rnacentral:rRNA from 1 species